AUUGAACGCUGGCGGCAGGCCUAACACAUGCAAGUCGAACGGCAACAGGAAGAUACCUGCUUCGUUGCUGACGAGUGGCGGACGGGUGAGUAAUAUCUGGGAAACUUCCUGAUGGAUGGGGAUUACUACUGGGAACGGUAGCUAAUACCUCAUUACUUCGCAGGACCAGAGACGGUGUAUUUCUGGCCUCUCGCCAUCGCGUGUGCCCCGAUGGGAUUAGUUAGUAGGUGGGGUAACGGAUCACCUAGCCGACCAUCCCUAGCUGGUCUGAGUGGAUGGCAAGACACGCUGGAAGUGAGACACGGUACAGACUCCUACGGUAGGCGGCGGUGGAGAAUAUUGCACAAUGGAAGGGAGCCAGAUCUAGCCAUGCCGCGUGUAGUGAGAGAGCCUUCGGGUUGUAGAGUACUUUCAGCGGGGAGGAAGGGAGUAACGGUAAUAUCUUAGCUAAUUGACGUUACCCGAAGAAGAAGCACCGGCUAACUCCGUG
rnacentral:rRNA from 1 species